GACGAACGCUGGCGGCGUGCUUAACACAUGCAAGUCGAACGAAGUGGCGAACGGGUGAGUAACGCGUAAUCAACCUGCCCUUCAGAGGGGGACAACAGUUGGAAACGACUGCUAAUACCGCAUACUGAAGGAGGGGAUUGCGUCUGAUUAGCUAGUUGGAUGGGUAACUGCCCACCAAGGCGAUGGUAAGUAGCCGGGCUGGGAGGGGUAACGGCCACAAUGGGAAUGGGACCCGGCCCAGACGCCUACGGGAGGCAGCAGGGGGGAAUCUUCCGCAAUGGACGAAAGUCUGACGGAGCAACGCCGCGUGAGUGAUGACGGCCUUCGGGGUGUAAAGCUCUGUUAAUCGGGACGCGGUACCGGAAUAGAAAGCCACGGCUAACUACGUGCCAGCCGCCGCGGUAAUUC
rnacentral:rRNA from 1 species